UACGUAGGGGGCAAGCGUUGUCCGGAAUUAUUGGGCGUAAAGCGCGCGCAGGCGGUGAUUUAAGUCUGAUGUGAAAGCCCACGGCUCAACCGUGGAGGGUCAUUGGAAACUGGAUCACUUGAGUGCAGGAGAGGAAAGUGGAAUUCCACGUGUAGCGGUGAAAUGCGUAGAGAUGUGGAGGAACACCAGUGGCGAAGGCGACUUUCUGGCCUGUAACUGACGCUGAGGCGCGAAAGCGUGGGGAGCAAAC
rnacentral:rRNA from 1 species